GUAUGUAUGUAUGUAUAUGUGUGGGAAGAAACUUUGCUAUAUGGGCAAAUCCUAGCGUUGCGGACGUUAUAUUUGGACGUUUCUUUUAACUUUUUUG